AGCGAACGUUUGCGGCGGGCUUAACACAUGCAAGUCGAACGAGAAUCCCUUCGGGGAGGAAAGUGGCGCACGGGUGCGUAACACGUGGAUAACCAACCCAUUGGUUUGGGACAACACCGGGAAACUGGUGCUAAUACCAGAUGUGUCGCAGCUGUCUUCAGGCGGUUGCGAGAAAGGCCCGCAAGGGUCGCCAACGGACGGGUCCGCGUCCCAUCAGCUAGUUGGUGAGGUAAUGGCUCACCAAGGCAAAGACGGGUAGCUGGUCUGAGAGGAUGAUCAGCCACACUGGAACUGAGACACGGUCCAGACUCCUACGGGAGGCAGCAGUGGGGAAUAUUGCGCAAUGGGCGAAAGCCUGACGCAGCCACGCCGCGUGAGCGAAGAAGGCCUCGG
rnacentral:rRNA from 1 species